GACGAACGCUGGCGGCGUGGAUUAGGCAUGCAAGUCGGACGGUAGGGCUUUAUCGUAAGAUAGAGUUUGAGAGUGGCGAACGGGUGAGUAACACGUAGGAAUCUACCCUUAAGACGGGGACAACCCAGGGAAACUUGGGCUAAUACCGGAUGAGAGUGCGAGAGAUUGCAUUUAAAAGGAUGGCGAAAGUUGUCGCUUAGGGAUGAGCCUGCGGUCUAUUAGUUAGUUGGUGAGGUAAGAGCUCACCAAGGCGAUGAUAGAUAGGCGGCCUUAACGGGUGGUCGCCCACACUGGGAUUGAGAUACGGCCCAGACUCCUACGGGAGGCAGCAGUCGAGAAUAGUCUACAAUGGCCGGAAGGCUGAUAGUGCGACGCCGCGUGAACGAGGGAGCCCUUCGGGGUGUAAAGUUCUUUUAUAUGUGAGCAGUGCUUCUUAUAUUAACAGUAUGGGGAGAGAGAUAUUAGCAUAUGAAUAAGCAAACGGCUAACUCCGUGCCAGCACG
rnacentral:rRNA from 1 species